rnacentral:sRNA from 1 species
GCCAGACGAGGUGGUGCAUGCCUGUAAUCCCAGUGGCUUGGGAGGCUGAGGCAGGAGGAUUGCAAGUUCAGAUCCAGCCUCAG